rnacentral:misc_RNA from 1 species
UUUCUUUUUCUUUUUCUUUUUCCUGAGUUGAAUUCAUCCAAACAGUGUUCUUGAUAUGUUUUGCUUUCAGUUUUUCUCUUGAAGAUAGAUGGAAUUUGGAAAGUCAUUUCCUUCCGAUACUUACCUUUGUAAACUUGGGCACAUUUAAUUCAGUUAAAACAUGCAUAAUCUUAUGUAAAACUCAUAUUGUCUUAAAACAGGACACCAAGAGGCUCUCAUUUUGGGGGGCCUGGAACUGAUUUCAGCUGAAAUGAUUCCACUUAAAUGCGUGGCCUCAUUUUAGGUCAGUUAUUUUGUUUACGUCAUAAGUUUACUUAAUUUUCUUGUGGCGUUUGCUACAUUCACAGAAUUACUUUUCCAGUUCCUUACAUUUGAAAAUUUACCGUUCAAGUUAAGUUUAUUCCUUUUUAUCUUUCCCUUCUCCCAAACAAUAGUUUAAUUCCUUUCGAGAAUUCCUUAAUUUAUGUUUAUCAAUAAGAACCGCGGUUUCAUUUCUUCAUAGUUCAGUUAUUUUGCACUAUUUACUUGCAGUCUACACCUUUUCUAUUUCGUUGUAUUUAGUAUUCUAGUUCUACUUCAUGAGAAGAUAUGAGCUUUGGAUGUUCAUUCCAAAUGCUAGAGAUCGCAUGAAGUAACUGUAAACAUAGGUCUGUUCUGUGUCCUUGCAACUGGGCAUUUGGUGUCAUGCUACAGCAAUUGUCUUCUGCUGUCUCCUUAUUUACAAUGUACUUGAUUUCCUGUAACCUUUUGUUGCUCAUGAGUGCAUUUUUUAUCAAGACUUCAAUCUUGUGGUUAUAACAUUGUAACGUCUAUAUGCUUGUGUGAGGGUCAUUUUCACUAGAACAUGUUUAGUAGGGCUAUGGGGUGUUACAAAAUGCAAUGUAAUCAACAAUAUAUAAAGGAAUAUGGAAUGGGAUGAUCAUCUAUUUAUAUUGAUUGGAUGCAAAAUUAAAGAUUAAUGUAAUGUAGCAAUGCUAUUUCAUCCAGUAGCUAGUUUUUUUGGUGGAAGUGUAGCAGUGUUUAGGAUAAAUGUAAUGGAGGUGGCAGUCACUGUCGGAUGGUACUAGUAGUAGCGAUACUAUAGUGGUGGUGGUUUUGGCUGUGCUGGUGAAAGCAUGGCAGUAGUAUGAGCAGCAGUGAUAGUGUAAGGAAGCAACUUAAUGCAAAAUGCAGUUGAUGGUGAGAGGCAACUUCAUUUGCCGGUGAGGUGUGGAUGUUGGCUGUUGGCUGUAAAGGCAGAGGUUGCAGUGAUUGUGAUAGUACUGAUAGAAGAGACAAUGGGUAAUAAAUAUAUCAAUGUGAUCAAAAUAACAUGUCUACAUGAAUUUCAUGUCCCAUAAACAUUACAUUGCGAAAAUUAUGUUGAUGGAAAAAAUGUAAUGUGGAUUACCAGGUUAGCUAUUUUUGUGUAACCAAUUAAAGUAAUGGGAAUUGCAAUGUGAUUGGGAUUAUAUUAGUUUUUCAACAAAUUUGAUGUUGGGCUAGAGUGCUAGAGCAUGGAACAUCUGUAAGGUUUUUGUAAAAAAUAAAGUAAUUUUAUGCACCUAGGAAUGAUUGAUAUGGGUACCUUCUCCCCCUUGCUAACAUAGAUCUAGUUGAUUCCUUUCACUUGGUUUAUAUUAGUCUGUUAAUUGUUAUUAUGAUUUUGAAAUGCCUUUUGCUAUUGUUGAAUGGUACUCUCUCAAUCACCUACUUUUUGCAAUAUAUAUUGCUUUAUUUUUUUUUUUAAAAAGUAUAUUGCUUUCCUUUUUUGGGUCAUUGGGUAUUUUCUAUGCUGAUCCUCUCUAGAUCCCAUAAUGCAUAAAAGAUGUCUACAAUGAUCUACACCAACUUUUAUGGAGAUUUGGUUGUUAGUGAUAAUAUUGAACUUGUGUGCUUAUAAGAAUAGGUGUAUUUUAUGUUGAUUGAUCCCUUCACCACUGAGGAUGUUUCACAACACUUGGUUUUCUCUUGUUUCCUCCAUGCUAAGGACUCUGAUUGCUUUCUAGCGUACUGUUUUGAAAGGCUACUCUCCAUGUAUGCUCGACUUUUUUUUUAUAUGUUUUAUUUUUUCAUAUUUUCGUUCACAUGUAUUCCUGGUUUGCAGCUCCCUUCCAGAAUACUCAAGGAAACCAGGGCGAGAAUGAUCCAAAUAAUACAACUGUGGGUAGUUUGUUUUACUGAUAGUUGGCAUGGUUAUGUCUUGCUCUAAACUAUUAACUUUUGAAUGCAGAUAUUUGUUGGAGCCUUAGAUCCAAGUGUUUCAGAUGACCAU